CACUGUCAUCUGCAAAUGUAAUGAUGGUGCCUGGCCAUGCAGUCAUGGGUGAACAGGGAGUAGUGGGGAGCUCCGGUGUUGAGGAUCAGCGUGACAGAUGUGUUUAAAGGUGAAAGCAGUGGCCAGCAUGUGUGUGCAGGGGAGACCCACUUUGCUGUGGUUACUGUGGAGAAAUAGCUUGGGCUGUGAGUACAAUGUUCCUAUAAGUCCAAGGCAGAAAAAACAUUUUGAGCACUUUAAAGUUGUUUUUGUUGAUUAAACAUGUGCCCUUUUGAUGUUGUGGUUUCAUUUGUGUCCAAGAUGGUGGGCCAGCUGGGCCAUGGGGCCCAGGCCUCGUACCAGCAGCCACACAAGGUUGAGAGGCUGCAGGGAAAGGCCAUCUGUCAGGUCGCUUGUGGAGCUGAUUUCACUGCCUGUGUCACUGAUGAGGACCUGAUGUACAUGUUUGGUUCUGACUACUACGGCUGUAUUGGAGUGGAGAACGAGCAGGGCAUGUAGGUGCUAGAGCCUGUGCUGUUGGAAUUCUUUGAGGUGUGGCCUGUCAGGCAGGUGUCCUGUGCAGACAACCAUGUGGUGGUGCUGACCCACAGGGGAGACAUCUACUCCUGGGGCUGUGGAGAGCCCGUAGAUGGAGCUAUGAUGAAGGACAUUAUUCAUUCAUGAAGUUGGCCUUUUCCUCAGUCUUGACCAGGACUGUGAGGAUGACUUUAACUCCCUCACGCAAGUGGAGAUUCCCAAAAGAGCCAGUAUCUCAUCUGUGGCCUUGAUGGAACCUUCUGGCAAAGUCCUGGCCUGUGGGAACAAUAAUCAACCCUGUAGUCUCUGGCCUCAAACCUUCCUGGAGAGGUACAGCAUCACAUUCAACAUACUAGGAUCCACUCACAGCCUCUUCUCAUUGCUUUAAAAUAAGGAAUAAUGCAAUUAAUGGUGGAGAAUUUAAGUUUUCUUCCUUCAAUAUCAGGUCUACCAGAGGAUAACAUACACCAUUACACUCACUUUGGUCAAGCAGCUGGCCAGGUAUAAGAUCCGAGUAAUUUCUGCUGGGAAGACCCACACUGCUGCCAUCAACUGUACAGCUACCAGACUCUGCUCUCUUUUUUUCUGAUCCCCAAUUGAAAGUAUGUAGAAUUUUAUAUGAAGACAUGGUUCUGACUGAACUCUGACCUUGCAGGCUGAUGACCUUUGGCUGCAAAAAAUUAUGGUCAGCUUGGUGUGAAGGACUUCAAGAAGCACCAGGGCAUCUAGCUCUUGUUGGGGUCUUUUGGGGGAGGGGAGGUGGUCAGCAAAGUGUCCUGCGGACACCAUCGCAGCCACAGAGGGUCAGAAAAACAACUAAACUUCAACAUUCUCUGUUGCAGCAUGUUGUUGAAUAUGCUGUUUAAUGUGUGUAUGCAGCUUAGAGUUGUGGUGCUUGUUUUUUUUCUUCGCUUUAUUCUGUUAGCAGGGAGUCCUCGGCUCUGAGCUACAAAAGUAGGACUCAAUCUAAUGGAGAGUACCGGUAGAUUCCCUGGUUAGGUUCUGAAAGGAUAUUGGCUAAUCUCUUAUCCUUUCAGACAGUCAGAUCUUUGCCUGGGGAAAAGCAGGAAAUGUGGAUGCCUGGGAAUGCUUUACCACAACCCAUUUUAGGCUCCAUCCACCAUGUGCCAUACCACUCCUGUCACGGCUGGCACACCAUUCUCAUCAUGGGUUAGCCACUAAACUUCUGUUCUAACACCAGCUAAUAAUUUAUUGAAAAAUACAGUUGAGAUUGAUUAUGUUCCCUGUUUACAGAAAAUGUUCUCAACUUUAAAACUAUCUGCUCAAACAGCAGUGGACUUUUAAUUGGCAGUGGUAAGUAAGAUGGCCAUGGUCUCUCUGGUUACUUCAUCAUUACAUUCACAAUCUGAACAGGUCAAUAGUUUUAUACCAGUUUGGUACUGUACUGACCACAUGGUGUGUCCUGGUGUUUGUCGGUUCACACUAAGGCCUGGGCCAGGCCUCUACCUCCACUGUGGAUCUGGAGAGUGAGCCAGGGCUACAUGAAGGGUGAUUGGGGGGGCACUAAGGAAGAUGACACAUCAAGACCUCCAUAACGUCUCUGACGAACCAGACUUGCGACAGCUCUUGCCACGUCUGGCUGCGCCAUGUUUGUACUCAAAACAACAAGCAUAAUAAAAGCCUGAACAAAGAGGGUUAUGGCCACUGAAUGUUGGUGUCCCUCCCUGUCCAUCCUCCCUAACAGGAACUACAGGAUGCAGAGUUCAUCCUGAUUCCAGAGGCUGAAUACCUGGCCCACUGGCUCCUUCUUUCUCAGAGCGUCACACUGCUCUAUGAUGACCUGCAGGAGGUGAAGGCUGCUGCCGCCACUGAGAAAAGCCUCUCGGUUAUGACAAACGCACCUGACUACAUCCCCAGUGCUAAUAUCGCAACCUAACCAAGUGUUAUUUCUUUAGACCGCUCGUAUGGGCUGUCAAGGGGUCAACGGGUUGGAGGAGGCAGGAGCCUAAGUAAUGAGGUAGCAGAGUUUCGAGAGACAGUCAAUCACGAAGAGGCACCAAUCCAGUUGUUACAGAAGCAGUUCAGUGACCAGCUCAAAGAGAACGAGAGACUCUGAUCAGCAAUCAACCAUCUGACCCUGCGCAAAGCAGGAACUGAAAAGAACAGCAACCACCAAUCCGAUCACAGGCCUGUGGCAGGACAGGGAGGAGCCUCCAACCAUGAUGGGGACAGAUCUGCUGGGGCAAAUCCGUGAACAAAAACUGUCCUAUCCUAUAUGCAAUGAGUUGCGGUGACCCUGUGCAAAAAUAGUAUUAUAUUUGAGAUUCUCCAAAGUAGCCACCCUUUGCCUUAAUGACAACUUUGCACACUUUAUACACCUGUCAGCACUGGGUGUAGCUGAAAUAGCCAAAUCCACUCAUUUGAAGGGGUGUACACAUACACUGUAUAUACACACAAAAGUAUGUUCCAAUGUGAAUUUCAAGUACUUAUUUUUUGUUAAUUUAAAGCCCUGAGCCCUGUUCUUCAUAUGUGAUGCUGUAAAACUAAAAGCCUAAAUACUAUUUCAAAUAGCCAAAGGUAUACCAAAUAUAGUCUCUCUUACAUAUAAUUUACCAAAGAAGUAUUUAGUGUUAACAUUUAAGUAUUUACAAUCUUGUGUAUUUCAUAUGAUGAUCAGCUUGCUAUUCUGUAUCUGGAAAAAAUGGUGUAUGAGGUUCACUUUUACAUAACUCAAACUACUGAUUCAAUAUAGACAAUCAUUUAUUUUUAUUGCCUUAAGAUGAUAACCUUGAAUUUGUUUUAACUAGUAUUUAAGUGGAGGAAAUGGUCAUUUUAUGGUUAACCUUCCUUCUGUAAAAGGUGAUGUCAUUAGUACAGUUGUCUUCCUAGAAUGUAGAAAAGCUUGUUUUCGUAAAGUUAAUGGUAAUAUUUUGUUUUCUCUAUUAAAUGUUUUCUCAACUGUUUCUUUUUCAGGUUUAUAUUGUCUUUGUGUUCAUCCUGUUUUUGAGUAUUGAUUCAUCCUUUUGACACUAUUUGUGAAAAGUGUAAUAUUCACAUUGUAUAUUUGUUUACUCUCGGUGGUGUGUGUACAGUAAGUGUGUGUUUUACGUGUCCUUUACCAACGGCUUGCAACUCUUGGUUGGUGUGCAGUUAAUUGAUACAGUACACAACACUGGUGCAAUUUCCUUUAUCAGUGCAAGAGAACGUACUUAUUCCUUAGUGCUUUGCAUACUCUUAAACCAAGAAUUGUGCACAAAUAGAAAGAAUAGGCUAUGCUUUUUAUACAGUUUGUUUAAUGUUGAAAUAUUACACCUAUACU